rnacentral:rRNA from 1 species
GAUGAACGCUGGCGGCGUGCUUAACACAUGCAAGUCGAACGGAAAGGCUCCUGCUUGCAGGGGUACUCGAGUGGCGAACGGGCGAGUAACACGUGGGUGAUCUGCCCUGCACUUCGGGAUAAGCCUGGGAAACUGGGUCUAAUACCGGAUAGGACCACAUUUUGGAUGGUGUGGUGGAAAGUUUUUCGGUGUGGGAUGAGCUCGCGGCCUAUCAGCUUGUUGGUGGGGUAAUGGCCUACCAAGGCGUCGACGGGUAGCCGGCCUGAGAGGGUGUACGGCCACAUUGGGACUGAGAUACGGCCCAGACUCCUACGGGAGGCAGCAGUGGGGAAUAUUGCACAAUGGGCGCAAGCCUGAUGCAGCGACGCCGCGUGGGGGAUGACGGCCUUCGGGUUGUAAACUCCUUUCGCUAGGGACGAAGCGUUUUUGUGACGGUACCUGGAGAAGAAGCACCGGCUAACUACGUG